rnacentral:rRNA from 1 species
UCUUAACUGGGCGUUAAGUUGCAGGGUAUAGACCCGAAACCCGGUGAUCUAGCCAUGGGCAGGUUGAAGGUUGGGUAACACUAACUGGAGGACCGAACCGACUAAUGUUGAAAAAUUAGCGGAUGACUUGUGGCUGGGGGUGAAAGGCCAAUCAAACCGGGAGAUAGCUGGUUCUCCCCGAAAGCUAUUUAGGUAGCGCCUCGUGAAUUCAUCUCCGGGGGUAGAGCACUGUUUCGGCAAGGGGGUCAUCCCGACUUACCAACCCGAUGCAAACUGCGAAUACCGGAGAAUGUUAUCACGGGAGACACACGGCGGGUGCUAACGUCCGUCGUGAAGAGGGAAACAACCCAGACCGCCAGCUAAGGUCCCAAAGUCAUGGUUAAGUGGGAAACGAUGUGGGAAGGCCCAGACAGCCAGGAUGUUGGCUUAGAAGCAGCCAUCAUUUAAAGAAAGCGUAAUAGCUCACUGGUCGAGUCGGCCUGCGCGGAAGAUGUAACGGGGCUAAACCAUGCACCGAAGCUGCGGCAGCGACGCUGAUGCGUUGUUGGGUAGGGGAGCGUUCUGUAAGCCUGCGAAGGUGUGCUGUGAGGCAUGCUGGAGGUAUCAGAAGUGCGAAUGCUGACAUAAGUAACGAUAAAGCGGGUGAAAAGCCCGCUCGCCGGAAGACCAAGGGUUCCUGUCCAACGUUAAUCGGGGCAGGGUGAGUCGACCCCUAAGGCGAGGCCGAAAGGCGUAGUCGAUGGGAAACAGGUUAAUAUUCCUGUACUUGGUGUUACUGCGAAGGGGGGACGGAGAAGGCUAUGUUGGCCGGGCGACGGUUGUCCCGGUUUAAGCGUGUAGGCUGGUUUUCCAGGCAAAUCCGGAAAAUCAAGGCUGAGGCGUGAUGACGAGGCACUACGGUGCUGAAGCAACAAAUGCCCUGCUUCCAGGAAAAGCCUCUAAGCAUCAGGUAACAUCAAAUCGUACCCCAAACCGACACAGGUGGUCAGGUAGAGAAUACCAAGGCGCUUGAGAGAACUCGGGUGAAGGAACUAGGCAAAAUGGUGCCGUAACUUCGGGAGAAGGCACGCUGAUAUGUAGGUGAAGCGACUUGCUCGUGGAGCUGAAAUCAGUCGAAGAUACCAGCUGGCUGCAACUGUUUAUUAAAAACACAGCACUGUGCAAACACGAAAGUGGACGUAUACGGUGUGACGCCUGCCCGGUGCCGGAAGGUU